AGUAAAUUAUAUUAUCAAAGUAAAAAUUUAAAAAGAACUCUAUUUUCUUAAAACAAUGGUCAUAAGAUGCUGCCCUAAUCUCGAUGUCUCUCUUCAGAUCGCUCUUGUUUUUCCAUCACAGCUCUACCCUAAUCUCGGUGAAGGUAGUAUUUCAUUGCAGCUCUGCUCUAAACUCAAGGAAGGUAUCUUCUUCCUUGUGUCGUCGUAGCUUUGCUCGAGACAGAAUUUCAGAUUUUGAAGAUACAAGUAACAAGUGAAGAUACAAGUUUAGAAGAUACUCAAACUCAUUAUUAUUUUGCUAUGAAUGUUAUAGAAUAUUUAAUAGUGUAGUCAAACUCAGAUGCUGGCUAUUUUUUUUAAUUAAGCAAAUAUUGAAACUAACUUCUGGGAUGCUAACUAAUUUAUUGCAAUAAAUCUCUGUCUCUUCCUCUCUCUA